rnacentral:lncRNA from 13 species
AUGGAACUAUUUGGCAGGUUGUAUUUUAUAUUUCCGGUGGUGUUGAGUGCAUCUAGGAAAUCUGAUUCUAUAAAAAGUAUUUUCUUGCAAGUCUCUAUUCCAGAUCUGAAGCAGUCCAAUCUGAUGGCUUUGUGCAAAAGAUGGUCACUGAACCAGAUCUUCCUUGUACUUAAUCUCUUCGUAUGUACAGUUGUCAGAUGCCAACUCUGCCAGGCCCCUUGGGAAUGCAGUUUCUGACUGAGUGGUGAUGACAGUGAUGCAGGAAUACCUGGCUGGAUGGCUCUGCUGGCCACAACAUCUCAAAGGACCUCAUUAGUUCUUUGGAAUGAGAUAAUUUUCCAUCCUCUCUUUGCUCUUUAUUGGUAGCUCCAAUGUCUCUC